CAGAAUUUGGGGAGUUCCAAAACUCCCCGGGCCUCUAACCCAGAUACAGAAUUUGGGGAGUUCCAAAACUCCCCGGGCCUCUAACCCAGCUGAACCUUUACACACAAUAAAUACUUCGAGGUGCCCCUAAGUCCUCUGGCCUCUAACCCGACUGGUUGCCAAGACUCUAACUCGCAACUCUCCACCGUCCCCGUCGGGAAGUGGCGUAGGGUAGUCAACCCUAGAACGAUUAACGGGCCUCUAACCCGACUUACAGUGAGACUCUAACUCACACACCGGUAACGGGCCUCUAACCCGACUUACAGUGAGACUCUAACUCACAGACCGUUCCUCUGACCUCCUGAAUUUAAACCAGUCUCCCAAUACGUUUUCCACAGGUUCAAAAUUUAGUUCAUAGCCAAUAUGCAGAUUUAGAUAUAACAGGCUCUGCUUACCUUUUUUAUGAUGCACCGGUGCUGGAACCUGUGAGUCCCGUGUAGUUCAACUGGACCAAGUCGAAUUCCUUCUCCCUUUUUCCAAUCCCGGACUGAGCCCCCAAAUUGUUGAAGUCUAACACUUCCCCGAGUUGGUUUGUUGGAAAGGAGAAUAAAACACCAGGAGUCAGGGCAAAUACCGUAUCAUACGUCCAUUUAUUACAGAAGCUUCUGGAGACACGUGUCGCCGCACAAUGUCUAAGGAUCAACAGUCAAAACAUCAUUUUAUACUUCUACUACGCCCAAAAAGAUAGAGGCGUUAACUUACAAAGCAAGUGUGUCCUUGGCCCAAUCCCAGUUCUAUUCCUUAUAGGAUAACUGCAAGUACCCCCCUUGCCCCCCUUGUGGUGUCUGUGUUGUCUGUCCGACUAUGUGUGUGUGUCUCUAACCUGUGUCCUGUUUCUCACAAAACAGACAUACUAAAUCUUUCUCUCCCCGGCAACCGCUUGAACAGGGUUUCCUAUUCUCCUACUUGCUCCUUCAGUUUCAGCUCAUAUUACAAACAAUUAAUAUUCUGCUUCAUUGGUUACAACAGCUUAUAACAGUUCACUAACUAAUACAAUCAAUACAUCUACAAUAGCUAGCUAAACCUUCUGGCUAAAUAGACAUGACUUGAUUAGCCACGAACCGGUCCUUUUUAAGUUAUAACAAGCGAAGGGCUGAUUCGGGGGUAACGUUAAGCAAGUAGUUGCUCUUUUUACUAGCCUGGUCAGCUAACGUCCUGCCGUGGGUAGCGUGUCUUACAGAAAAAUAUAAACAAGACGUGAUCUGUGCCUGUUUAUGAUAAUAACCAUUGCUAAUCUAGACCAUGUUAAGCACACA
ensembl:lncRNA